rnacentral:rRNA from 1 species
CGGAGAAAGCUUUAUGCACCAUUGGAUGAGCCCGCACUUGAUUAGUUUGUUGGUGGGGUAAUGGCCUACCAAGACUGUGAUCAAUAGCUGAUUUGAGAGGAUGAUCAGCCACAUUGGGACUGAGACACGGCCCAAACUCCUACGGGAGGCAGCAGUGGGGAAUCUUGCACAAUGGAGGAAACUCUGAUGCAGCGAUGCCGCGUGAGUGAA